CAGUCGCCGCGGUAAAACGAAGGGGGCUAGCGUUGUUCGGAAUUACUGGGCGUAAAGCGCACGUAGGCGGACAUUUAAGUCAGGGGUGAAAUCCCGGGGCUCAACCCCGGAACUGCCUUUGAUACUGGGUGUCUAGAGUAUGGAAGAGGUGAGUGGAAUUCCGAGUGUAGAGGUGAAAUUCGUAGAUAUUCGGAGGAACACCAGUGGCGAAGGCGGCUCACUGGUCCAUUACUGACGCUGAGGUGCGAAAGCGUUGGGAGCAAACAGGAUUAGAUACCCGGGUAGUCCCUGUCUCUUAUAC
rnacentral:rRNA from 1 species